rnacentral:lncRNA from 1 species
UCAGAAGAAACAACGUUGAUUCUUUGAAUUAUAUUCUUUAAAGUUAGAAUGAUACUUAUGAUCACUUUAAUGUUACAUUUUGCCUAUUAAAGUGAAUUAUACUAUUAUGUUAGUCCCUUUUCUGGUGCAUUUUUGGUACAAAUCAAAGCUUUAUUCUCUGUCUUGUUUCAGACAAUCUACAGCUUUUCUGGAGGCAUGGGGAAAUGUAGAUGCAAGUUCAGCUGAGAAAGUCAGAGGCCUGCCUGAUGUAGUUGUUCCUGAGGAAGCAGGCAGUGGUACAUGGAAGCACCUGGCAGAACAGCAGCAAAACCAUCAUGAUCAAGCAGUGACCGAAAUGCAGCAGGAGCUGGACUGCAUUGGCAGGGUAAGGCAGGAUUUUUUAAUUCAGAGUCUAAGAGUGCUUUUCUAAGGUCAGGGCACAAUAUUUAAAUGAUCACACUGACCUACCGUUUUAGGAGAUGGAAGACUCUGUUUUGAAGCUUCAGGAAUUCCUUCAGCUAAAAGUGAUGGAAUCAGAUGAAAAGAGUAAACUUCUGUUUGAAAAGAUUGCAUCUGACAUGGCUUUGGAAGGUUUCUCAUUUGAAGGUUUGGAAGAACUGUGGAAUAUGAUCCAUGAGGAAUCCUCAAACAGAAAGAAGCAGAUUAGAGCAGUGGACAAAUCCUUAAAGGACAUCAAAAGGAAUCGAGCCGUUAAAAUAGCAGAUGUACUAACCAAGUAUACUGUGAAACUGGAGGAAAUUUCCUUCUUCUUGGCAGCUAAAGUUCACAAGCUCAUUAACAAUAAGGCCAUGGUAAAUGUUUUACCUGGGGCAAGAUAGCAGUCUGAAUAUUCCUAGAAUGUCUCUAUUUCCCCAACUGAAAUUACUUUUUUCUGCCUAUCAAUCACUGAAAUAUAGAAAAGAUUUUUACUUUGCAAGGGUAUUUAUUAUAAUUUAUGCUUUUUUUUCCCCCUCAUUUUCUGUAGAAGAUACAAUUGGUUGGGGUUUUUUUCGCAUGUUGUAUGCUGCUUCUACUCCU